GUGGGGAAUAUUGGACAAUGGGCGCAAGCCUGAUCCAGCCAUGCCGCGUGAGUGAUGAAGGCCUUAGGGUUGUAAAGCUCUUUCAGUGGGGACGAUAAUGACGGUACCCACAGAAGAAGCCCCGGCUAACUUCGUGCCAGCAGCCGCGGUAAUACGAAGGGGGCUAGCGUUGUUCGGAUUUACUGGGCGUAAAGCGCACGUAGGCGGAUCGUUAAGUCGGGGGUGAAAUCCUGGAGCUCAACUCCAGAACUGCCUUCGAUACUGGCGAUCUUGAGUCCGGAAGAGGUAAGUGGAACUCCUAGUGUAGAGGUGGAAUUCGUAGAUAUUAGGAAGAACACCAGUGGCGAAGGCGGCUCACUGGUCCGGUACUGACGCUGAGGUGCGAAAGCGUGGGGAGCAAACAGGAUUAGAAACCCCAGUAGUCC
rnacentral:rRNA from 1 species